rnacentral:rRNA from 1 species
CCGCAAGGCUAAAACCCAAAGGAAUUGACGGGGGCUUACACAAGCGGUGGAGCAUGUGGUUUAAUUCGAAACAACGCGCAAAACCUUACCAAUCCUUGAGAUAUGAAAAACAAGAUCUUUUAUUAGAUCUUUUUGUUUUAUACAGGUGCUGCAUGGCUGUCGUCAGUUCGUGGUGUGAGCUGUUGGGUUAAGUCCUAGAACGAACGCAACCCUUUUUUUGAGUUGUUUGUUUUUUUCAUCUCUCAAAAAACUGCCAGUGAUAUACGGGAGGAAGGGAAGGAUGACGUCAAGUCCGCAUGGCCCUUAUGGGUUGGGCUACACACGUGCUACAAUGGCGAUGACAAAAGGUAGCAAGAUGGCAACAUGGAGCAAAUCCCCAAACAUCGUCUCAGUCCGGAUUGUUCUCUGCAACUCGAGAACAUGAAGUUGGAAUCGCUAGUAAUCGUAGAUCAGCAUGCUACGGUGAAUUUGUAUCUAAGCCUUGUACACACCGCCCGUCACAUCCUGGGAGCGGUUCUUGCACGAAGAGAUUGAAACAAAAAAUGAGUUUCAAAGGAUUUCUUCAUGUUUUUAUAAAGCAUGGUUCUUUUGAUCUUUUUUGGUAUUGAUCUUUACUGCAGGUUCUGUAACUGAGAUG